rnacentral:rRNA from 1 species
GACGAACGCUGGCGGCGUGCUUAACACAUGCAAGUCGAACGGAAAGGCCCUGCUUUUGUGGGGUGCUCGAGUGGCGAACGGGUGAGUAACACGUGAGUAACCUGCCCUUGACUUUGGGAUAACUUCAGGAAACUGGGGCUAAUACCGGAUAGGAGCUCCUGCUGCAUGGUGGGGGAUGGAAAGUUUCGGCGGUUGGGGAUGGACUCGCGGCUUAUCAGCUUGUUGGUGGGGUAGUGGCUUACCAAGGCUUUGACGGGUAGCCGGCCUGAGAGGGUGACCGGCCACAUUGGGACUGCGGUACGGCCCAGACUCCUACGGGAGGCAGAAGUGGGGAAUAUUGCACAAUGGGCGGAAGCCUGAUGCAGCAACGCCGCGUGCGGGAUGACGGCCUUCGGGUUGUAAACCGCUUUCGCCUGUGACGAGGCGUGAGUGACGGUAAUGGGUAAAAAAGCACCGGCUAACUACGUG